GACGAACCGUGCGAACGUUAUUCGGAAUCACUGGGCUUAAAGCGCGUGUAGGCGGGAGGGCACGUCCGUUGCUGAAAUCCCCCGGCUCAACCGGGGAACGGGCGCGGAUACGACUCUCCUCGAGGGGCGUAGGGGGACCUGGAACUUCCGGUGGAGCGGUGAAAUGCGUUGAGAUCGGAAGGAACGCCCGUGGCGAAAGCGAGGUCCUGGACGCCUACUGACGCUGAGACGCGAAAGCCAGGGGAGCGAACGGG
rnacentral:rRNA from 1 species